rnacentral:rRNA from 1 species
UACAGAGGGUGCGAGCGUUAAUCGGAAUUAUUGGGCGUAAAGAGCUCGUAGGCGGUGUGUCGCGUCGGCCGUGAAAACCUGCAGCUCAACUGCAGGCUUGCGGUCGAUACGGGCAGGCUGGAGUUCGGUAGGGGAGACUGGAAUUCCUGGUGUAGCGGUGAAAUGCGCAGAUAUCAGGAGGAACACCGGUGGCGAAGGCGGGUCUCUGGGCCGAUACUGACGCUGAGGAGCGAAAGCGUGGGGAGCGAACAGG